rnacentral:rRNA from 1 species
GGGAAGUAGCUUGCUACUUUGCCGGCGAGCGGCGGACGGGUGAGUAAUGUCUGGGAAACUGCCUGAUGGAGGGGGAUAACUACUGGAAACGGUAGCUAAUACCGCAUGACCUCGCAAGAGCAAAGUGGGGGACCUUCGGGCCUCACGCCAUCGGAUGUGCCCAGAUGGGAUUAGCUAGUAGGUGAGGUAAUGGCUCACCUAGGCGACGAUCCCUAGCUGGUCUGAGAGGAUGACCAGCCACACUGGAACUGAGACACGGUCCAGACUCCUACGGGAGGCAGCAGUGGGGAAUAUUGCACAAUGGGCGCAAGCCUGAUGCAGCCAUGCCGCGUGUGUGAAGAAGGCCUUAGGGUUGUAAAGCACUUUCAGCGAGGAGGAAGGGUUCAGUGUUAAUAGCACUGUGCAUUGACGUUACUCGCAGAAGAAGCACCGGCUAACUCCGUGCCAGCAGCCGCGGUAAUACGGAGGGUGCAAGCGUUAAUCGGAAUUACUGGGCGUAAAGCGCACGCAGGCGGUUUGUUAAGUCAGAUGUGAAAUCCCCGAGCUUAACUUGGGAACUGCAUUUGAAACUGGCAAGCUAGAGUCUUGUAGAUGGGGGUAGAAUUCCAGGUGUAGCGGUGAAAUGCGUAGAGAUCUGGAGGAAUACCGGUGGCGAAGGCGGCCC